GACGAACGCUGGCGGCGUGCUUAACACAUGCAAGUCGAACGGUGAAGGGAUCAGCUUGCUGGUUCUGGAUGAGUGGCGAACGGGUGAGUAACACGUGAGUAACCUGCCCCCUUCUUCUGGAUAACCGCAUGAAAGUGUGGCUAAUACGGGAUAUUCUGGGUCUGUCGCAUGAUGGGUCUGGGAAAGAUAUUGUUUCGGUGGGGGAUGGGCUCGCGGCCUAUCAGCUUGUUGGUGGGGUGAUGGCCUACCAAGGCGGUGACGGGUAGCCGGCCUGAGAGGGUGGACGGUCACACUGGGACUGAGACACGGCCCAGACUCCUACGGGAGGCAGCAGUGGGGAAUAUUUCACAAUGGGCGCAAGCCUGAUGCAGCGACGCCGCGUGAGGGAUGGAGGCCUUCGGGUUGUAAACCUCUUUCGCCAGUGAAGCAGGCCUGCUCCUUGUGGGUGGGUUGACGGUAGCUGGAUAAGAAGCGCCGGCUAACUACGUG
rnacentral:rRNA from 1 species